rnacentral:rRNA from 1 species
CAGCCGUAAACUAUGCGCGUUAGGUGUACUGGUGACCACGAGUCACCGGGGCGCCGAAGAGAAAUCGUGAAACGCACCACCUGGGAAGUACGGUCGCAAGGCUGAAACUUAAAGGAAUUGGCGGGGGAGCACCACAACAGGUGGAGCCUGCGGUUUAAUUGGAUUCAACGCCGGACAUCUCACCGGAUAAGACAGCUGAAUGAUUGUCAAUCUGAAGGUUUUACAUGACUAGCUGAGAGGAGGUGCAUGGCGUCAGUGACU